GCGGUGGUGGUGAAAUUGGUAGACACGCCAUCUUGAGGGGGUGGUGCCGAAAGGCGUGGGAGUUCGAGUCUCCCUCACCGCA
rnacentral:tRNA from 1 species